AGCUGCGAUAGCUCUGUUGGUAGAGCAUGAGACUCUUAAUCUCAGGUUUGUGUGUUCAAGCCCCACUUUGGCCA